UGUGUUUGAUGAACACGUGCGAACGGUGAAAGCUGUGAUGUGGUUUUUUAAAAACCCCGUAAGGGAAUCUGGUGACGCUCUGACCUCGCAGCUUGCCGUCAUUGGAGUGUUGUAUUAAAUGAACGUGCUCUGACUAGUCAAGUGACUGCAACAGGGUGCUGAGAGGGGAGGCGUGUGGUCGUCAUGUAUCCGUAACGAGUGGAAAGAAAGGAAGACCACACAGCAGCACGGUCAGAUCAGGUUGUCAGAGACCAUAUUUAAAAUCUGGGUCAGAGUCCAAAACCAUAACCUCUCUCACUCACUGUGGCUCUAGAUUCCCUCCUCUGCACCCCAUUUCUCCUUCAUCUCAUCCCACUCUCUUUCUUCUCUUCUUCCUCAUGCAGCUUUAUCUCCUCCUCGCACACUCAACAUAUCCACGAGUCUUUAUUUCAUCCACUAAUUCUGUCUCUCUCCUCUCAAAACGUGGUGCCUGACAUGUGGUGUUGAGGCAGCAGUUUGUGUUUUGUUCCACAGACAGAAACUUCAGAUUCUCAGAUUAUAAUCACCAACUUCUGUACGAGGAAAACAAGCCUCUUUUUCAAUAACCUAAUUAUCUAAAAACGUCCUUCAAAUCUUGAAUUGUUGUAAAUAUCAUGUUAGAUUUUGAAAUGUUUGCUCAUCCCCCAUUUAAGAAAAUUGAAAGUGCAUGUAAAAACCAGCUGAAUGAUUUAUAUAUAGAUCUAGCAGCAGCUGUAUUACCAUAUCUGUAUUCAUAUAGAUAUAUUAUAAAUAUAUAUAUCUAUAUACUAUUUGCAUUAGUAUAUCUUUAACAAACCUAGCUGCUAACUCUCGCCAGAUUUUUUAAUUUCUAAUAUUAAAUGCUACAAUACGUCUAUUCAAUUUGACCUCGUUACAAGAAAGAAGGCAAGCACAGCUAUGAUUUCCAUAUUCAUAGUUAUUAAAAUGCAGGUACUUCUGUUACACAGUAAACAAGUAAGACACAAAAGGGUUCGUGAGUUGUGUUUCUAAGAAAAACUCCAACAGUAGUAGGAGAGUCAGGAUUGAUAGACUGGAAAACUUGUCUGUUUAAUGUGGCCGAGGAUUUCUUGGGUCUGUUUUAGCUAAUUAUUUGAUGAAUGGGAUAAAGUUAGCCUAAUUCAGAGAAGCAUUAUCAUCAGUAUCAUAGUAUCACAAGAACAAAAGCAACUCAAUACUGUUGUUUAGUUGUGUUGUGUCAAAGUGAUGGGAAGUGGUUACUCGUGAUGGGAAUAGAGAGACAGGAGCAGCACAAACCACUGUUGUAGACGACAUUAUACUGUUAUUCUUACAAUAACAACUAUAAAAAUGAAACAGUUAUGAAAUAAUUUAUGAGUAAUUUUUUAGUAAAAUAUUGUUACUUCUGUUAUCUAAGGUGACCAUAAUCUGAUUUCCCAAAAAGAGGACACGACUACGCGGGGACGGAGUCACGGAGUCACACCAAGUUAAUUUUGAAAGUUUUUCGGGUCGUGUGUCUUUUACACGCUUCUAACUCAGUAAUGUCACAUGACACAAACUCGAAACCAACGUGCAAAACCGCUGACAUUUAAAGGAUUUUAUAAACUUCCCCAGACACAACCAGACAAACCCGGAGAGCCCCCCGAAAAAGAGGGCAUAUCCGGGUAAAAAAAGACGAAUGGUCACCCUAUGUUAUUAGCCAACUAGAGUAACUCAAAGUCAUCAUCUUUGUUCAGGUCUGUUAACCAAUCAGAGGCUGCACCUGCAAUCAGCUGACCUGUCCAACCAAAAGCCAGGCCCUCCCUAUCUCAGAGAAGUAAAGGUUAUAUAACUCAUAAAAUAAAAUCCACAGGAACUGAUAUGAGAACUGAUAAAGAUCGGAUAUCAAUAUUGACAUAGCUAUCGAUUUCCAUUACUCCGUGUGUGCCAAUCAUCCUUUUCGCUCUGCUCACUGCCUCAGUGCCAAAAUGGCAAUCGCUGGUAUUUGUGGCGAGGGAGCUUAGGACAUUUUGAAAUUGUAGAAUCUCCAGCAGCUUUUUAAUCCGACAUGUGGAGGCAUUUUGGUCACCUCAUGUCAAGAAAUGAGAAAUGAGAGAAGAUGACAGCCAAACAAAAAACAAAACACAAACACUGGCAGGCUUCCUAUGUGUCAGGGAACACUUGUAAAAUGAGAACCCACUUGGCUGAUCGUCACCCCCAAUAGAUUUAAGAGGAAGAAAAAAAUCAAGCCAAGCUAAAAGAUUGUGGAGGAAGUGUUUUACAGCUCAAAUUCCCCAUAACAAUGAAUAACACUGAAUAUAAAGCCCUACAGUUAUCCUCUGUGGUCAAAUAUGAAGGAUUCAGAAGGUCAGUAAACAUGUUAGAGUCUGCUGGAUGGUCAUACUUUACUCAAAUACCGUUGCCAGCUUUCUACAAAGAGACAAAGGCUGAAGUUACACAGAAACUCAAGCAAGCUGAGUGCAUCUCACUCACCACAGAGGGGUGGAUUUCUCAUACUUCAUGGAGCUCUAAAUAACUUUUUUCCUGUUUUCAUUUGCCAUUUCUCAAAAUAUUGUGAUAUCAUGAGCUGUUGUGAUGUUGUAUCCUGAAAUUUCGAUACUGUUACAGUCCGGAAAAAAGUUAUUUCUUCCUCUAGUGUUUGAUAAGUUGAAUCUCUAGCUCUGAUACUUAAGUGAGGAAAAGACACCAUGCCUUUCUUUGCAUUAAUAUAUCUUUAACAAACCUAGCUGCUAACUCUCGCCUUUAUACGUUAAGAUAUAUCUCUGUACUUCACAGAUUCUUUUAUUCAUUUAUGUGCGAUACAUAUUUUGACUAGAUGCUGUGCUAUUGUUCCGAGGUGUGAAAUUGUAACAUAACUUAUUCCCUUCGAAAAGGCUGCAAACGCUCCAGGGAAGUUUCAUGUUUUACUGCUUGGACACAAUUAAAGACCUAGUGAUAGAGUUUUAUUUAAGAUUGAAGAGGUGCCACCCUGAUGCUCAUUCUCGUAGACAAACCUGGCAGCCCGGCAGCGACUACAACAGCACUCUUGCCUCUAUUUAUCAUGGGAAACUGGCAAACACUGUGCAAAUCAACUGGCAUAAAUGUCUGAGCUUGGUUUCAGCUGGGUGGCUUCAGGAGCUAAUGUGGCGCUAAUGUGGCUGCCAACAAUAAGACACGAUGACAUUGUCCUGUUUUCAAGCUGGAGGUCUCCCAGUAAGGAGCUUUCUUGAAUGCCUCAUCAGUGUGACACGGAGACGGGCCUGCCAACCAGCAGCGGAGCUGAGCUGAGCUGCAGAGCUGCUUUAGAGCCCUGCUGAGACCUGCCAGACCCACAGCUUUCCCUGCCAGGGGCCUCCGCUUGCAGUCAGAGUGAGUUACAGCCCAUGCUCCUUUCACACACAUGCUAACACAGAAACCCACAUACAGAGAGCUGAAACAUGUGCAGCAUACAGGCAUGUAGGCGCAUGCAGAAGUGGAACAUGGAGUGGAGCAAAUUUGCACAACCACAGAACCAGUACACACAUAGUCUGGACUUUAAUAUGCAGACCAGUGUAAAUGUAUGCACACACAUGCAAGACCAGAGAGUAGCCCUACUGGACGUGUGCGCACCACACACAGAGAAAGAGUACAAGUCUACGCCAUGGCUGUAAAACUGCAGUCAAGUCUGCAUGUCAUUUUACAGCUGCUCAGGGUUCAUUUAAGGUCAACGUACAGCAUCUGCAGGAUCAGCUGGAUUGAUUUGUCUGGGUAAACAAGCGAAGUGAACAUGAGCAUGUGCGCGAACAGGGGCUAAGCAGCAGAAGUGUGUUGAUGGGAGGUGGUGAAGGAGCAUCAAUAUGUGAUCAGUGCGGCGUAGAUGAGAAUGAUGGGUGGAUACAUGAGCUGCAUGUUUAUGCCAGGAGGUGUGGAUAAAAGAAAUCAAUCUAGAGCCCUUGAAGAUCUACACGGAGGACAAUGAACUGGAUGAUUUAUAGAUUAUACAUGUAUUUCUGAUAAAGUGGGAUUUUUCAUUCUUAUAUUGCACAGUUAAAUCUUUCUAAAUUUUUCCCAUGACUUGAACAAAUCCAUUUUGUCAUGCCUUCGUGUGAUAAAGUUGAUGUAAAUAAUGAAUUAGUAAAAGGGCAAUGAAAGCAGUUUUUCUGAGAAUGAGGUGAAUGUUUCUGUGACUUUAUCACUGGCAUCCCUGUCAACUAACAAGAAUGACUUGUAUUGUACAUACUGUGUUGCCACAGGGCGCAGUGAGAUGACCACGGUUCAUGUGAGGAAAUGAUCACACGGAUAAACGUCGUCCAACCAUGUGUCAGCAAAUCUCCCCACAGGCAUGGCAGUCGGGUCUUUGAACAUAGCUAACAGCAUGACUAAAAUCAUUAGCUGGACCUCAAGGGUUUUUAACCACCAACAUUAUCCUACUGUCUUCCUCUGCUAUCUUACAGCCGUCAACUUCUCCUUUGGCCAAUUUUCUGCCGUCCACCUUUUUCCUUAUUCGUCUCAUUAGUGCUGCUGGGAGGAAUCAUCAAGUAGAGACCCGGUGAGUCAAACUUGCCCAGAUAGCCAGAUUUAAAACGUCCAUAUUUAGCACCAGAGGAGUCAUAACUGCCCGUGCUAAUAAUAAUACCAUGUUAAAAAGAUCUUUUGAAUCAUCCUUCUCUAGAAAAUUGUGUGAAAUUUCAUUCAACAUGCUUAAACUUUGAAAUAAAAAGCACUCUGUGAAGUUUUUUGGAUCGGUGGUUUCCUGAGUUCAUGGCACAGCGCUGGAUGGUUUGGUGAUCGGUGCUAGUUUAGGGAAAUUGGUCCAACAUUGUGGAUCCACAUCUUAAAAAGAAGGUUCACAACAUUUGCAAAAGUAGCUGUUUUUUGGCUUUCAAGUUGGAUUAAUGGAAAGUUGUGCCGAUAAACAACAGGAGUUACCCCGAAUUUCCACCGCAUCUGGAACGGCUCCGAUCCAGAACGGCGGCAAUUUUUGCCAUCCGCCAAUUCCUACUGGAUUUGUUUGUGAGGCGAAUUAUGGCGGGUUACGGACAGCAGGAAUUGCUAGAACUCACAAAAACCCGCGGAUUCACAUGCAAUCACGCGAUAACGAGUUGUCUCUAUAGCCACAUAAGCAUAAAGGCAGUAGAUUGUGUCCUUCCAGAGGAGGAAAUCUACAUCUAGACUUUUUGAAUCAGCAUCUCCUCAUCCAUGGUGUCAUCGGAGUGAAAUGCUGUCUAAAAACCUUUCACUUUUUCUUCCCCACCUGUUUGCAUAGUGUAAAACACGAUACCCCUGAAACAUGGAGUGUUUUAUUUUGAAAAGAAGCAGGAUGUUUUAUUUUGUGUCUGUGCCCGACUUCCUUUCCAGCACGGGUUAAUCUGUGCUGAAUUUAUCCGGCAUGCUCUGGCGUCCAGAAAAAAUAGAACUCUUGCGAUCAGCUGCGGAACAGAAAGAAGGCGGUGGAAAUUGACACAUUAACUUGAAUGGUUACGAUCGGCGGAUUUGGCCUCUUUGUAGCCGUUCUGGAUGCGGUGGAAAUUGGGGGUUAGACUGCGUUGGUUGUACAAUUGAACAAUUCAGCACCAAUAAUGUCAGAGACUGUAAUACUAACUCCUAAAGUUGGAAAGUUUGAGUCCAUGUUUGUAAAUUAUUGACAAAAAGAAGCCAAGGAACAAAUUGUCUUCUACUUGGAGGGCCAAGCACAAACCGGAUAGCUUGUCUUGUCCUUAAGGUGAUGGAAAUCGUCAAUGUUCAUGUCAGACAAACAUCAACUAUAAAAACUUGACUCUUUACGAUGAAGCUGUGCGUGAACAUGAUCAGAUUUAGCACCCACUUGAGAGCUGACAACCAAUGUUUUGCUGUCCGUAUGAUCCAGCAGUGAUAUAUUGUUUGAACAUGAGGAGCUAUAGAGCUUGUGUCUACAUUAAUCCCAGGAAUGUUGAUGUGGUCCAGAGUUUUUAAACGAGGCGUAGGCGUGGAGUAAGAGUCCCCUGGAGCAGAGUUAAGGUCUUAAAGCACUAAAAAGCCCUGACCCAGACUGACGCACCCACUCACAGAGACACAGCACCUCUUUCCAGCCAGGCAUAUGCUUUUCAUACUUUGGCUAUGCAAGAAAACGCACACAAGGAAACACACCAUGAACAGACCGAGAAAGAUCAGGAGGAUGUUAACAAGGAACAACAAAAAUACUUUUCUUAGAUGAAGAUGAGCACAAAAUGUACCCAGCAGCAGCAGACAUCGAACAAAUACAGAUACACAGCCGAACACAUCCCUGUUGUUUUGUGUUGCUUGUCAUGCAAUGAGGAACACAUGACUUAAAUCGGGUGUGGUGCGUGACCUCUUAUCAGACAAAAGCGUCCCACAGAGAGAGCUGAUGGGGGAGACUCAUCUACCCGCCUCUCGGCAGUCAUGAGGUCUUCAUCCCGUUCUCCACGCUAAGUCUCGUGGUUCAAAGACCAUAAAAAUGUUGGCGGCAUCUUGUCAAUAAAUCAUCUACUUAGCCUGGAGAAAGUGGCAUUAACGGGGGGAAGGAAGUGCACAACACUAUUUUCAAGGCAAGUUUAGCGAGAAAGAAGCCUUUACAUUUCACUUUGACUUCUAUAAACGUCUCACCUUAAGGGCCGAAUGAGCGGUUGGCAUGUCACAUAAACUCUUCAACUCAGAAAAUGCAGGAGUUACAUAACGUAGAAGGGUACAUCCUGUUUUACCGAUCGGUUUCCUGUCUUUUCCAUUAAUUUAAGCAUUAUAAUGUCACUGAGAUGUGGGGAGUCAAAAAAAAAAGGAUGUUUUCACUGAAAACUCUGCAAGAGUUGUGUAACCCAAUACGACCAUCACCAUAUAUUUUUAUGUUGCAGGGUAGGUUUCAUUGGUAGGUAGUUAAAAUGCUUCUGUGGGUGUUAAAACGGCUAAUAAAGCAAACUGUUCCACAACCAGGUCAGAGCACCUUUUUUUUUGUUGUUGUCAUUUUAGAAAUCGUUAAAAACCCAAGGUCAGCAGACAGAAAUGGACAGGAGAUGAGGGUUUCAAGAGUUUACCGCUGAACAUCCUCUCAGAGAGCUCCCCUCUUUGAUUUUGUUGAUAGCUGGAAAAGUGUUACCAAAGGAUGAAAUCAAAUUGAGUAGAAAUGUGUGAGGACAUCUGUGUGUCUGUAAAAGCAAGCUGUCUCAUCACAAGGUACUGUCGCUGAGAGGCGAUGCUCCCGGGCAGCAGGGCCGCUGCACUCUAAAUCAGAGCAGUGUUCAUCGGGUUCAUCCACUGUGGAGAUCUGAAAAGAGCUGAUUGUCUGGUGCGGCGCUGAUGGCUGCAUGAAAAUCAAGAGAAAAAAGCUUUGGAUUGUAGGCCCAUAUGUAGCAUGGCUAAUGGCCGGCUGAAUAGAAAAACCGAAAGGAUCAAGGAGUGUGAAACAAAUUCCCGCAAAAAAGACUCUCCAUUUAAUCAUGACCUUCUUAAGUUCAUCAGCUGAUGUGAAAUACUCCGUUUAACGAGGAAAAACACAAGUCAGAUUUAUUCUUGGAUUAUGUGUAUCAUGUAAUAAACUUCUCAAAAACAAAGGUCUGCUGUUUCUGUGUUUCUGCUGAAUAUUGCUUCGCUGCUCUUGAUUAUGACUCAUCAAAAAUCAGAAUAUGAAAGAAUGAGGUUGAUUGUUUCUGUGUCGUUCUGUAAUUUAUUCAAUUUUUUU
rnacentral:lncRNA from 1 species